rnacentral:rRNA from 1 species
AGCGCACGAGGAGGCAUCUCUUUGUGUGAAAAACUCCGGUGGUACAGGAUGGGCCCGCGUCUGAUUAGCUGGUUGGCAGGGUAACGGCCUACCAAGGCGACGAUCAGUAGCCGGUCUGAGAGGAUGAACGGCCACAUUGGAACUGAGACACGGUCCAAACUCCUACGGGAGGCAGCAGUGGGGAAUAUUGCACAAUGGGGGAAACCCUGAUGCAGCAACGCCGCGUGAGUGAAGAAGUAUUUCGGUAUGUAAAGCUCUAUCAGCAGGGAAGAUAAUGACGGUACCUGACUAAGAAGCUCCGGCUAAAUACGUGCCAGCAGCCGCGGUAAUACGUAUGGAGCAAGCGUUAUCCGGAUUUACUGGGUGUAAAGGGUGCGUAGGUGGCAGUGCAAGUCAGAUGUGAAAGCCCGGGGCUCAACCCCGGGACUGCUUUGGAAACUGUGCAGCUAGAGUGUCGGAGAGGCAAGCGGAAUUCCUAGUGUAGCGGUGAAAUGCGUAGAUAUUAGGAGGAACACCAGUGGCGAAGGCGGCUUGCUGGACGAUGACUGACGUUGAGGCUCGAAAGCGUGGGGAGCAAACAGGAUUAGAUACCCUGGUAGUCCACGCCGUAAACGAUGACUACUAGGUGUCGGGGAGCAAAGCUCUUCGGUGCCGCAGCCAACGCAAUAAGUAGUCCACCUGGGGAGUACGUUCGCAAGAAUGAAACUCAAAGGAAUUGACGGGGACCCGCACAAGCGGUGGAGCAUGUGGUUUAAUUUGAAGCAACGCGAAGAACCUUACCUGCUCUUGACAUCCCUCUGACCGCUCUUUAAUCGGAGCUUUCCUUCGGGACAGAGGAGACAGGUGGUGCAUGGUUGUCGUCAGCUCGUGUCGUGAGAUGUUGGGUUAAGUCCCGCAACGAGCGCCACCCCUAUCUUCAGUAGCCAGCGGCAAGGCCGGGCACUCUGGAGAGACUUCCAGGGAUAACCUGGAGGAAGGUGGGGAUGACGUCAAAUCAUCAUGCCCCCUAUGAGCAGGCCCACCCACGUGCUCCAAUGGCGUAAACAAAGGGAAAUCAGAGUCGUGAGGCCGAGCAAAUCCCAAAAAUAACCUCUCAGUUCGGAUUGUCGUCUGCAACUCGACUACAUGAAGCUGGAAUCGCUAGUAAUCGCGAAUCAGAACGUCGCGGUGAAUACGUUCCCGGGUCUUGCACACACCGCCCGUCA